rnacentral:rRNA from 1 species
GUGCCAGCCGCCGCGGUACUACCGGCAGCCCGAGUGAUGGCCGAUCUUAUUGGGCCUAAAGCGUCCGUAGCCAGCCGAACAAGUCCGUUGGGAAAUCCACCCGCCUAACGGGUGGGCGUCCAGCGGAAACUGUGUGGCUUGGAACCGGAAGGCUCAGAGGGUACGUCCGGGGUAGGAGUGAAAUCCCGUAAUCCCGGACGGACCACCGAUGGCGAAAGCACUCUGAGAAGACGGCUUCGACAGUGAGGGACGAAAGCUCGGGUCUCAAACCGGAUUAGAUACCCUGGUAGUCC